CAAAUUUCAAUGAAUGUGUGACAAGCAAUACCUGAUCAAGCAUGCAGGAAUUUGGUUUUGUAUUUAUUUUACAAGUGGCAACAAAUAAGAGAGUGAAUUCCUAAAUGAUUGACAGUUAUUUAAUAGUCUCUUUUUUUAUAUGGUUUUUCUUAUUGAAAUGGAAAACACUCAUUAGAAAGUCUAGACAUUGAUGUUUUAAGGUGUAAACAGCAUUUGAAGGUUGCUUGGCCUUUUCCCAAAUAUUUACAGAAAAUUGUUUGUUUUUAGAACAUAGUGGAACAUUGUUAAGCUGCCAUUUUCCAAUUGAUUUGUUGAGGUUAAGGCUGAACUGAUUUUGACUGACAGCAAGUCUGAUGAUUUGAGAUUUAUAGCAAAGUUCAGCCAAGCAAGUGGCAAGGUUGCUAGUAACAGGGAAAUGGUAACGAAACAAAGCCUUGUGGAGCAGUUGAACAGAAGAGUGGCAAGUUUUUGCCAGAGCAGUUUUAAUGAAGUGCAAGGAUUAAUCUGGAAUUGCUUGGAAGUCAGUUUAAUUUUACUCUCUGAUUGCCUGAGCAAAGGUGAACAACUGAAUGUGAAAGAUUUGGGGCAAAAGACCUCCCUGCCGAAGUACUCAUUGGCCAAUUAUAUGCAAGGCAAUAGUCUGUCAGCUAACUUGGCUAAAAUGCAAUUGGCAUUUUAAAAAAGACUACACAUUUCAUAGAGCAGUAUUCAACUGGAAAAGUAAAGUCAGUUUAUGUUAGUAAAUGGAAAUUUGAGAAUGUGAUAAUAGGAGGUUGGCAUGUGUAUCCAUUAUAAGCAAAAUUUGUCGCUAUGAUAGAAUUUAGGUUUAAUUAAGCAUCUCGUGCAAU